GCAAAAUGUGUUAGCAGGAGAGGAGUCGAGCAGAGAGAGCUCCUUUUUCAUGAAACGGGAGUAAAGUAGUGAACUCAGAGGAGAGAAACGAACUAAAGUAUCGAUCAUAAACCACUACCAACGUCCUGAUCGAUAUCUGCAUCGAUCUGCCCACCCUUGUCUCCUGGAUCGUAGCUGAGAUCAGCGUGAACCACGUGGGUCUCUGCUCCCUGAUCUGUUUCCUGUGUUUGGAAAGAGUUGCAGCUUCAUCGCGGAGUUUCUCUCGGUUUGUGGGCUCAUCUAAAGCUGAUCAUCAGGAGGAGACGAGCCAUUUAGACUCAGCUCAGCCACUACAGAGGAAACAAUGACUUCAACCCAAAAGGACCAACAUGGAGCGAGAAGUCAGCGCUCUCAGGAGGCCGACAAACCUCACAGAAGAAAGAGAGAGAAAACAUACAGCUGUGAUGAGUGUGGGAAGGAUUUUACUCGGGCUGGAAACUUAAAAAAACACAAAGUCAUCCACAGUGGAGUUAAAGCAUACACCUGUGACUUGUGUGGAACAUCUUUCAACCGGGCUGGAAGCUUAAAAACACACCAACUCAUCCACAGUGGAGUGAAAGCAUACAGCUGUGACUUGUGUGGAAAAUCUUUUACUUUGGCUGCUAACUUAAAAAGACACCAUCUCAUCCACAGUGGAAUUAAACCGUACACCUGUGACUUGUGUGGAAAAUCGUUUACUCACGCUGAAAGCUUAAAAACACACCAACUCAUCCACAGUGGAGU